UGGGGAAUUUUGGACAAUGGGCGAAAGCCUGAUCCAGCCAUGCCGCGUGAGUGAAGAAGGCCUUCGGGUUGUAAAGCUCUUUUAGACGGAAAGAAAGAGUUGCAAUGAAUAAUUGUGAUUUAUGACGGUACCGACAGAAAAAGCACCGGCUAACUACGUGCCAGCAGCCGCGGUAAUACGUAGGGUGCGAGCGUUAAUCGGAAUUACUGGGCGUAAAGGGUGCGCAGGCGGUCUUGCAAGUCAGAUGUGAAAGCCCCGGGCUUAACCUGGGAAUUGCGUUUGAAACUACAAGACUAGAGUGCAGCAGAGGGGAGUGGAAUUCCAUGUGUAGCAGUGAAAUGCGUAGAGAUGUGGAAGAACACCGAUGGCGAAGGCAGCUCCCUGGGUUGACACUGACGCUCAUGCACGAAAGCGUGGGGAGCAAACA
rnacentral:rRNA from 1 species